CCCGCACCGGCGGAAGGCGUUGGCACGUUGCCAAACGAGCUCAUCUCCGAAAUCAUUUCCCGAACGCCGGUGAGGUCCGUGUGCCGGUUCCUGUGCGUGUCCAAGGAGUGGUACGUCCUGAUCUCUGAUCCAGCCUUUGUCGCCGCGCAUAAAUCUCGCCAUGCCGAGCCGCUCAUCGUGGCCAGCUGCUCUGAGGACAAAGCCAAGAGCUGGUGCCACGACCUGCGGUUGAUGGACAUGGAUGGUAAUGUCGUCAAGGUGCUGAAGGGCAUAGAUGGCUCUCCGUUGAUCUCCACGAGCUCACAUGACCUCAUUUGCGUGGCAAAUUACUCUUAUUCUUAUGCUAACGCCCAAGUGAUCGACCCGGCCUCGGGGAAGGUGCUCAUGGACUGUCCGAAGCAACAACGCACGGAGGUGUGCACCUUCUUCUGCUCUGGUCGUUCUGCGCCGUCUCUCACUUACAAGGUGGUCAAGGUCGAUGAUGGCUCGGCAUGCAAAGUUUUCACUUUAGGAGAGGACACCGGCUGGAGGGUGUCAGAGCCGCCCAAAACCAGUAUCUCCUACAUGGAAAACUCCCCAGUCACUGUGAACAGUGUCAUGUAUUUCUUAGAGACGCAACAUCGGCGCGGUUACACCUUACAUUCCUUUGACAUCGAGAGCGAAACGUGGAAGAAGACGAUCAGUGGCUCACGCAAACCCAUGGGCCCCGAUGUGUGCCUGGCUGUGCUCAUGGCUGAGCUCAACGGCGCUUUGUGCAUGGUCCAAACAGAGAGAGACCACACACCCAUGACAAAUAAUCGAUGUGCCAACAUAUGGAUCUUAGCCGAUCUGGAUAUGGGUACAUGGAUUAAGGCGUAUACCAUUCCAAUGGACGCGUCCACCGAUUAUUGUAGGCCUUUGAGGGUAACACAUGGUGGUGGUAAAUUGAUUUUCUGCAAUACCUUUUAUGCAGAAAGACAGGAGAUUCGAGCCUACAAUCUUCACACCGAGGCAUGCACGUCGCUAUGCAAACUAGAUAGAACCAUGGGCAGAAUUGCUCUUUGCAACUUGCAGUUG
rnacentral:rRNA from 1 species